rnacentral:rRNA from 1 species
GGAUGAACGCUAGCGACAGGCUUAACACAUGCAAGUCGAGGGGCAGCAUAAAAGUAGCAAUACUUUGGUGGCGACCGGCGCACGGGUGAGUAACGCGUAUGCAACCUACCUAUCAGAGGGGGAUAACCCGGCGAAAGUCGGACUAAUACCGCAUAAAACAGGGGCACCGCAUGGUGAUAUUUGUUAAAAAUUUAUUGCUGAUAGAUGGGCAUGCGUUCCAUUAGGUAGUUGGAGAGGUAACGGCUCACCAAGCCUACGAUGGAUAGGGGAACUGAGAGGUUGGUCCCCCACACUGGUACUGAGACACGGACCAGACUCCUACGGGAGGCAGCAGUGAGGAAUAUUGGUCAAUGGGCGAGAGCCUGAACCAGCCAAGUCGCGUGAAGGAAGAAGGAUCUAUGGUUCGUAAACUUCUUUUGCAGGGGAAUAAAGUGCAGGACGUGUCCUGUUUUGUAUGUACCCUGAGAAUAAGGAUCGGCUAACUCCGUGCCAGCAGCCGCGGUAAUACGGAGGAUCCGAGCGUUAUCCGGAUUUAUUGGGUUUAAAGGGUGCGUAGGUGGUUUAAUAAGUCAGCGGUGAAAGUUUGCAGCUUAACUGUAAAAAUGCCGUUGAAACUGUUAGACUUGAGUGUAAAUGAGGUAGGCGGAAUGCGUGGUGUAGCGGUGAAAUGCUUAGAUAUCACGCAGAACUCCGAUUGCGAAGGCAGCUUACCAAGCUACAGCUGACACUGAAGCACGAAAGCGUGGGGAUCAAACAGGAUUAGAUACCCUGGUAGUCCACGCAGUAAACGAUGAUUACUAGCUGUUUGCGAUACACAGUAAGCGGCACAGCGAAAGCG